rnacentral:misc_RNA from 1 species
CCCUAGCCUCGAUUGCAGCAAUUGUUUGAGCUCAUUUUAAUUAUUUUAGGGUUUCGGCGGCUUCGCCGCCGAAACCCUAAAAUAAUUAAAAUAGCGAGUGCGGAAAGCGAGAAAAAGC